GAUGAACGCUGGCGGCGUGCCUAAUACAUGCAAGUCGAGCGAAUGGAUUAAGAGCUUGCUCUUAUGAAGUUAGCGGCGGACGGGUGAGUAACACGUGGGUAACCUGCCCAUAAGACUGGGAUAACUCCGGGAAACCGGGGCUAAUACCGGAUAACAUUUUGAACCGCAGGGUUCGAAAUUGAAAGGCGGCUUCGGCUUUCACUUAUGGAUGGACCCGCGUCGCAUUAGCGAGUUGGUGAGGUAACGGCUAACCAAGGCAACGAUGCGUAGCCGACCUGAGAGGGUGAUCGGCCACACUGGGACUGGGACACGGCCCAGACUCCUACGGGAGGCAGCAGUAGGGAAUCUUCCGCAAUGGACGAAAGUCUGACGGAGCAACGCCGCGUGAGUGAUGAAGGCUUUCGGGUCGUAAAACUCUGUUGUUAGGGAAGAACAAGUGCUAGUUGAGUAAGCUGGCACCUUGACGGUACCUAACCAGAAAGCCACGGCUAACUACGUGCCAGCAGCCGCGGUAA
rnacentral:rRNA from 1 species